rnacentral:rRNA from 1 species
UAGGCAACCUGCCCCGAAGACCGGGACAACACGGGGAAACCCGUGCUAAUACCGGAUGUGGUCUUCGUCCCCAGGGACGAUGAGCAAAGGGAGCUUCGGCCCCCGCUUUGGGAUGGGCCCGCGGCCUAUCAGCUAGUUGGUGGGGUGAUGGCCCACCAAGGCGACGACGGGUAGCCGGCCUGAGAGGGCGACCGGCCACACUGGGACUGAGACACGGCCCAGACUCCUACGGGAGGCAG